rnacentral:snoRNA from 1 species
AUGCUAUGAUGUGGACACCUAACCAACAUGCCCUUGAAUCUCUCCCACAUUUCUUGUAAUGUUUCUACUGGUUUAUGUCUGAAGCUCAAAAUCUCAUCAAUUUGUUG